rnacentral:rRNA from 1 species
AACGAACGCUGGCGGCAUGCCUAACACAUGCAAGUCGAACGAAGCCUUCGGGCUUAGUGGCGCACGGGUGCGUAACGCGUGGGAAUCUGCCCCUUGCUUCGGAAUAACAGUUAGAAAUGACUGCUAAUACCGGAUGAAGUCUUCGGACCAAAGAUUUAUCGGCAAGGGAUGAGCCCGCGUAGGAUUAGGUAGUUGGUGGGGUAAAGGCCUACCAAGCCGACGAUCCUUAGCUGGUCUGAGAGGAUGAUCAGCCACACUGGGACUGAGACACGGCCCAGACUCCUACGGGAGGCAGCAGUGGGGAAUAUUGGACAAUGGACGCAAGUCUGAUCCAGCAAGGCCGCGUGAGUGAUGAAGGCCUUAGGGUUGUAAAGCUCUUUUACCAGGGAUGAUAAUGACAGUACCUGGAGAAUAAGCUCCGGCUAACUCCGUG